rnacentral:rRNA from 1 species
CCUACGGGAGUCAGCAGUGGGGAAUAUUGGACAAUGGGGGGAACCCUGAUCCAGCGACGCCGCGUGAGUGAAGAAGUAUUUCGGUAUGUAAAGCUCUAUCAGCAGGGAAGAAAGAAAUGACGGUACCUGACCAAGAAGCCCCGGCUAACUACGUGCCAGCAGCCGCGGUACUACGUAGGGGGCAAGCGUUAUCCGGAUUUACUGGGUGUAAAGGGAGCGUAGACGGCGAUGCAAGUCUGAAGUGAAAGGCGGGGGCCCAACCCCCGGACUGCUUUGGAAACUGUAUGGCUGGAGUGCAGGAGAGGUAAGUGGAAUUCCUAGUGUAGCGGUGAAAUGCGUAGAUAUUAGGAGGAACACCAGUGGCGAAGGCGGCUUACUGGACUGUAACUGACGUUGAGGCUCGAAAGCGUGGGGAGCAAACAGGAUUAGAUACCCGUGUAGUC